CAGCAUGGAAGCCGUGGCAUGUUGCAAUAACUCGAGAGCAGCAGCACUUUGGGCUGGAGCUGGUCAGAAAUCUCAGGGGCAUAUUUGGCAAGCCCUCUUCGCUUGGAGGGACAUGCAGAUAGAGAGGAUUCCGGAAGCUCCAUUUCUCAGAAUCUCCCAUCCUUUUUUUUUUUUUUUGGCAUCCGCUGUCAUCCACCACACGCAAAACGCGUUGCGCAUGCUGACUUGCAGCGAGUUUGCAAACUCGACAUGUAACUGCAAGUCGCGGUAGGGUCCGCCGGGGACGUGCCGGCCAAGAGAGGAGCAGGAGAAGAAAAUGGUGACGUUGCCAGCCUAUGAGGAGUUGUUCUUGAUGCGGUGAAGGGCGACUAGUAGGGUUUGAAAAGUUAGCUGCUGGAGAGGGUGUUUUGUUUUUUUUUUUUUUUUUUUAAAAAAAAUUUUCGAGGGGGAGGAUGAUGAUUCUAUGACAAUGUUGUGACCUGAAAUGAAUGGCUGGGAAAUUUGUUGUCUCUUGUUUUGAGAGAGAUAUAUAUAUAACUAUAUAUAUAUAUAUGAGGUAACUAUA
rnacentral:sRNA from 1 species